AGAGUUUGAUCCUGGCUCAGGGUUAACGCUGGCGGUGUGCCUAAGACAUGCAAGUCGGACGGGACUUAUUGUCUACACUAAGGGAACCAAAAAGUUUUUUUAGUGUAGAUAAUAAGCCUAGUGGCGAACGAGUGAGUAAUAGAUACGAACAUACUCCGAAGUGGGACAUAGCCUUGCGAAAGCAGGAGUAAUUUCCCAUGUUUUCCGAUUUAUCGGAACAAAGACGCAAGUCGCUUUGGAAAUGGCGUAUCCGCUAUCAGCUUGUUGGUAAGGUAAUGGCUUACCAAGGCUAUGACGGCUACCGGCUCUCAGUGGAGGGUCCGGCACGAUGGGACUGAGACACGGCCCAUACACCUACGGGUGGCAGCAGUUAGGAAUAUUGCGCAAUGGACGAAAGUCUGACGCAGCGACACCGCGUGCGGGAUGACAGCCUUCGGGUUGUAAACCGCUUUUCUUUUAUCAUCAAGUUAUUAGGAAUAAGCAACUACUAACUACGUGCCAGCAGUCGCGGUAAUACGUAGGUUGCAAGCGUUACCCGGUUUUAUUGGGCGUAAAGGGUCUGUAGGCGGUUUUUUCAAGUCCUAUUUCAAAGACCUCGGCUUAACUGAGGGAAGGGACAGGAUACUGAAAGACUCGAGUGGUAUCGAGGCUACUGGAAUUUAUAGUGUAGGGGUAAAAUCCAUGGAUACUAUAAAGAACACCAAGGGCGAAGGCUGGUAGCCAGAUACAUACUGACGCUGAGAGACGAAAGCUAGGGUAGCAAAUCAGAUUAGAGACCGGAGUAGUCCUAGCCGUAAACGAUGUCUGCUAAUCCCGCGAUUUUUUGUGGGAUGCAAGCUAACGCGUUAAGCAGACCGCCUGGGGGAGUACAGCCGCAAGGCCGAAACUCAAACGAAUUGGCGGGGAGGCGCACAACCAGUGGAGCAUGUGGUUCAAUUCGAUACGAAGCGAUAAACCUCACCUGGAAUUGACAUGUACCUGCGCUCCGAUAGAAAUAUUGGAGGCCUUCGAGGGUGGUACACAGCUGUUGCAUGGCUGUCUUCAGCUCGUGACGUGAGUUGUUCUCUUAAGUGAGGUAACGAGCGCAACCCCUAUUCCGUGUUACUAUGUCACGGAAGACUGCUCAGCAUUAUUUUUGUUGGGAGGAAGGAGGGGACGACGUCAAGUCAGCAUGAUGCUUAUGUCCAGGGCUACACACAUCCUACAAUGACAUUUACAACGAGUUGCAAAACCGCGAGGUUAAGCUAAUCUCUUAAAACUUGUCUCAGUGGGGAUUGCAGUCUGAAAUUCGACUGCAUGAACUUGGAAUUGGUAGUAAUCGCGGAUCAGCAGGCCGCGGUGAAUACGUUCUCGCCUCUUGCACACACUGCCCGUCAAAUCAGCAAAGUUGAGGGUACCCGAAAUUUUUCCCUGUUUACAGGGAAGGCCUAAGGUAAAUUCAGCGAUGAGGGUUAAGUCGUAACAAGGUAAGC
rnacentral:rRNA from 1 species